rnacentral:lncRNA from 1 species
GCCGCCUUCGCGGUUGCAGGGUAUGAGCUCCGCCAUGCCCGCCCGGCUGAAUUGUUGAUUUUUUUUGUUUUUUUCUUUCUUUCUUCUCCCUCCCCGGCCCGUUUCCGCGCGCAGGAGGAGGGAAAUGCAGCUGCAGGGGUUUGAGGGAAGCGAUGCCGAUUUAGCAAGCCGCCACUUGGUGGAAGGGUUGAAGGGUUGCACAAACAUUGCCUGGCUCGGCUGCCGGCCCUGGAGAACAUCCAGGCUCCAUCCAUAUCCUCCAGAUAAACAAAUUUACUCUUUUUUUUUUUUUUUUUUUUUUACAACAUACAGUUUGGAAGAGCAAACUGUUGUGUAAUUUCUUGUGUGUGGAGGGGGGGGGAAAGCUUUCCCACUUCUUCCUGCCCUUGACCCAGAAAAAGCAGCCCCUUUGCUGUGCUUUGCCAGGAUCACCCAGCUGGCAUCGCUUCCCUCAGCUCCUCAGGAAUCCUCACUCACUGAUUUUCCUGCCUCUGCCAUUCCCACCUCUUUAUUUCUUGUUCAGCUCUGUGGCUGAGUGCCCCGCUGUGGCCCCCCUGGCGAUGCCCACUCAUUCCAGGCGCACUCCAGGAGCUCCCAGGGUGGCCAAAAUCAGCCCCCAGAGCUGAGCAGCUCCCACACCUCGGCUCCACCAUCCCCAGCAUCCCUGGGAUUGCACUGUGACCUUCACACCUCCAAAAAAAACCAACAAAAAAAGGGCUGGAUUCUUCCCUGCCCGCUCCUCCAGCUGCCCCUUGGCAGGGCGGAGGCUCUGGGAUAUUCCCCGGUGCCACCAGAGUGCAGCAGAGCUGGAUGUCACCUGCUGCUUUACGGUGACUGCACCCCGGGGCCCUUCCCUUCCUCAGGGCAGCUUUUCUCUGCUGGAUCUGCCUGACAGAUGUGGAGCUCCUGGAAACGCUUCCCAAACAGGAUUUUAACCUGUUAAAAUGACACACACGGCAGGUUUCCCCUUCCCAGGGGUGGGUGGAGGCCACAGACGUGUCUGCUGGCGAGCAGAGUUUAUCUGGAUCUCCUGCCUGGAGAUUGGUUGGAUUGCUCCCAAAUCCAACGGGCGCUUGGCACGGGCUCCUGGUGCUUGGCAGAAGGGGCUGGAAGCAGGAGCUGGUGCCAGUGGGGAUUGUCCAGCAGAGCCAGGUGUCCCAGAGGGACAGGAGGGAGCCAGGGCGGGGGGACACUGCAGGAGGUGAAUGUUGGAUCACCCGUGCCAAGGCAGCUCGCAGGGGCCUGGGAGCGAUGCCGGGGGAGGGAGCUGGGAAUGCUGCCCCUGAGGAGGCGUGGGAGAGGGCUGGCAGAGUUCUCAUGUGUGCCUGCUUUUGUCUUCCAGCGGGGCAGAGUCCCUCUCCUUGGAUGAAAAAGAGGUGGCACCCAAUGGCUUGGAGGGAUCGGGAUCGGGAUCGGGAUCAGGAUCGGGAUCGGGAUUGGCCGAGGAGCACCCGGAGGGAGAAGCCAGCUCCGAAGACAGCUCCAGCAGCAGCUCGGAAGAGGAGUCAGGUGAGCAGGACAUUGUGAUUUAUUUACCUGUAAUCCCUUUUUUAAAACUGAUGUUCAUUUUAAACCAGCUGCCUCUCCUGAGUGUAAUCUUAUAAUUUGGGAAUGCUAACUCUGAAUGCUUUCCCAAUAAAAUUUUGGGAGCCAAUGAUUUUCUGUCA